rfam:Firmicutes bacterium CAG:313 genomic scaffold, scf12
GGAGUAGUACUCAAGAGGCUGAAGAGGCGCCCCUGCUAAGGGUGUAGGUCGGGAAACUGGCGCAAGGGUUCAAAUCCCUUCUACUCCG